rnacentral:misc_RNA from 1 species
UGUCUUCUGCGAGCGGUGCG